rnacentral:rRNA from 1 species
AGAGUUUGAUCCUGGCUCAGAUUGAACGCUGGCGGCAUGCUUUACACAUGCAAGUCGAACGGUAACAGGCCGCAAGGUGCUGACGAGUGGCGAACGGGUGAGUAAUGCAUCGGAACGUGCCCAGUCGUGGGGGAUAACGCAGCGAAAGCUGCGCUAAUACCGCAUACGAUCUAUGGAUGAAAGCGGGGGACCGUAAGGCCUCGCGCGAUUGGAGCGGCCGAUGUCAGAUUAGGUAGUUGGUGGGGUAAAGGCUCACCAAGCCAACGAUCUGUAGCUGGUCUGAGAGGACGACCAGCCACACUGGGACUGAGACACGGCCCAGACUCCUACGGGAGGCAGCAGUGGGGAAUUUUGGACAAUGGGCGCAAGCCUGAUCCAGCAAUGCCGCGUGCAGGAAGAAGGCCUUCGGGUUGUAAACUGCUUUUGUACGGAACGAAACGGCUCUGGUUAAUACCUGGGGCUAAUGACGGUACCGUAAGAAUAAGCACCGGCUAACUACGUGCCAGCAGCCGCGGUAAUACGUAGGGUGCAAGCGUUAAUCGGAAUUACUGGGCGUAAAGCGUGCGCAGGCGGUUUUGUAAGACAGGCGUGAAAUCCCCGGGCUCAACCUGGGAAUGGCGCUUGUGACUGCAAAGCUGGAGUGCGGCAGAGGGGGAUGGAAUUCCGCGUGUAGCAGUGAAAUGCGUAGAUAUGCGGAGGAACACCGAUGGCGAAGGCAAUCCCCUGGGCCUGCACUGACGCUCAUGCACGAAAGCGUGGGGAG